CCUACGGGAGACAGCAGUGAGGAAUAGUGGUCAAUGGACGAGAGUCUGAACCAGCCAAGUAGCGUGAAGGAUGACGGCCCUAUGGGUUGUAAACUUCUUUUAUAGGGGAAUAAAAUGUUCCACGUGUGGGAUUUUGUAUGUACCAUAUGAAUAAGGAUCGGCUAACUCCGUGCCAGCAGCCGCGGUAAUACGGAGGAUCCGAGCGUUAUCCGGAUUUAUUGGGUUUAAAGGGAGCGUAGGUGGAUUGUUAAGUCCGUUGUGAAAGUUUUCGGCUCAACCGUACAAUUGCAGUUUCAACUGGCAGUCUUGAGUCCAGUAGAGUUGGGCGGCCUUCGUGGUGUAGCGG
rnacentral:rRNA from 1 species